rnacentral:rRNA from 1 species
CAGGUGGUGCGAUGGCUGUCGUCAGCUCGUGUCGUGAGAUGUUCGGGUUAAGUCCCGCAACGAGCGCAACCCCUGUCCUAUGUUGCCAGCAUUAAGUUGGGGACUCAUGGGAGACUGCCGGCGUCAAGCCGGAGGAAGGUGGGGAUGACGUCAAGUCAUCAUGCCCCUUAUGACCUGGGCUGCACACGUGCUACAAUGGCCGGUACAAUGGGCUGCGAUGCCGCGAGGCGGAGCGAAUCCCUUAAAACCGGCCCCAGUUCGGAUCGGAGGCUGCAACUCGCCUCCGUGAAGUCGGAGUUGCUAGUAAUCGCGGAUCAGCAUGCCGCGGUGAAUACGUUCUCGGGGUUU